UACGUAGGGGGCAAGCGUUGUCCGGAAUCAUUGGGCGUAAAGAGCGCGUAGGCGGUCCGAUAAGUCGGCUGUGAAAGUCAAGGGCUCAACCCUUGGAAGCCGGCCGAUACUGUCGGACUAGAGUCCGGAAGAGGAGAGUGGAAUUCCUGGUGUAGCGGUGAAAUGCGCAGAUAUCAGGAAGAACACCCGUGGCGAAGGCGGCUCUCUGGGACGGUACUGACGCUGAGGCGCGAAAGCGUGGGGAGCGAACAGG
rnacentral:rRNA from 1 species